AACGAACGCUGGCGGCAGGCCUAACACAUGCAAGUCGAACGCCGUAGCAAUACGGAGUGGCAGACGGGUGAGUAACACGUGGGAACGUACCCUUCGGUUCGGGAUAACUCAGGGAAACUUGAGCUAAUACCGGAUACGUCCGAGAGGAGAAAGNUUUAUUGCCGAGGGAUCGGCCCGCGUCUGAUUAGCUUGUUGGUGAGGUAACGGCUCACCAAGGCGACGAUCAGUAGCUGGUCNGAGAGGAUGAUCAGCCACAUUGGGACUGAGACACGGCCCAAACUCCUACGGGAGGCAGCAGUGGGGAAUA
rnacentral:rRNA from 1 species